CCUACGGGUGGCAGCAGUGAGGAAUAUUGGUCAAUGGGCGCGAGCCUGAACCAGCCAAGUCGCGUGAAGGAUGACUGCCCUACGGGUUGUAAACUUCUUUUAUAAAGGAAUAAAGUGAGGCACGUGUGCCUUUUUGUAUGUCCUUUAUGAAUAAGGAUCGGCUAACUCCGUGCCAGCAGCCGCGGUAAUACGGAGGAUCCGGACGUUCUCCGGAUUUGUUGGGUUUAAAGGGAGCGUAGAUGGGUGGUUAAGUCAGUUGUGAAAGUUUGCGGCUCAACCGGAAAAUUGCAAUUGAUACUGGCAGUCUGGAGUACAGUUGAGGUAGGCGGAAUUCGUGGGGUAGCGGUGAAAUGCUUAGAUAUCACGAAGAACUCCGAUUGCGAAGGCAGCUUACGAAACUGCCACUGACAUUGAUGCUCGAAAGUGUGGGUAUCAAACAGGAUUAGAUACCCGUGUAGUC
rnacentral:rRNA from 1 species